AUUCUGCCCAUGCGGGGAAGGAUGAGAAGCUUCGACCAAGGUUCGACUCGAGCGUCAGCGAGAGAGCGUUGCCGCAGGCAACGACCCGAAGGGCGAAGCGCGCAGCGCUGAGUAAUCCUUCCUCCACCACCA
rnacentral:sRNA from 2 species